rnacentral:rRNA from 1 species
GAAAAAUUUUUAACGGCCGCGGUAUCCUAACCGUGCAAAGGUAGCACAAUCACUUGUCUUCUAAAUAAAGACUAGUAUGAACGGUUAAAUGAGGAUAGACCUGUCUCCUGAGAACGAUCAGUAAAACUGAACUUCCAGUACAAAUGCUGGAAUAUCCAUAUAAGACGAGAAGACCCUGUGGAGCUUAAAACUAACCACGAACCAUAAUCGAACCUAAGUUUUUAGUUGGGGCGACUUUGGAAACAAAAACAACUUCCAAAAAUAGGACCGAAAACCCUCAAACCAUGGCCAACAAGCCAAAUAAAAUAGACCCGGUACAUUGUACUAACCGAAAAACGAACCAAGUUACCCCAGGGAUAACAGCGCCAUCUUCUUUUAGAGUUCAUAUCAACAAGAAGGUUUACGACCUCGAUGUUGGAUCAGGACACCCAAAUGGUGCAGCCGCUAUUAAUGGUUCGUUUGUUCAACGAUUAACAGUCCUACGUGAUCUGAGUUCAGACCGGA